rnacentral:rRNA from 1 species
UACGAAGGGGGCUAGCGUUGCUCGGAAUCACUGGGCGUAAAGCGCACGUAGGCGGAUUGCUAAGUCAGGGGUGAAAUCCUGGAGCUCAACUCCAGAACUGCCUUUGAUACUGGCGAUCUUGAGUCCGGGAGAGGUGAGUGGAACUGCGAGUGUAGAGGUGAAAUUCGUAGAUAUUCGCAAGAACACCAGUGGCGAAGGCGGCUCACUGGCCCGGUACUGACGCUGAGACGCGAAAGCGUGGGGAGCAAACAGGG